rnacentral:rRNA from 1 species
AGAGUUUGAUCCUGGCUCAGGACGAACGCUGGCGGCGCGCCUAACACAUGCAAGUCGAACGAGCGAGAGAGAGCUUGCUUUCUCGAGCGAGUGGCGAACGGGUGAGUAACGCGUGAGGAACCUGCCUCAAAGAGGGGGACAACAGUUGGAAACGACUGCUAAUACCGCAUAAGCCCACGGCUCGGCAUCGAGCAGAGGGAAAAGGAGCAAUCCGCUUUGAGAUGGCCUCGCGUCCGAUUAGCUAGUUGGUGAGGUAACGGCCCACCAAGGCGACGAUCGGUAGCCGGACUGAGAGGUUGAACGGCCACAUUGGGACUGAGACACGGCCCAGACUCCUACGGGAGGCAGCAGUGGGGAAUAUUGCACAAUGGGGGAAACCCUGAUGCAGCGACGCCGCGUGGAGGAAGAAGGUCUUCGGAUUGUAAACUCCUGUUGUUGAGGAAGAUAAUGACGGUACUCAACAAGGAAGUGACGGCUAACUACGUGCCAGCAGCCGCGGUAAAACGUAGGUCACAAGCGUUGUCCGGAAUUACUGGGUGUAAAGGGAGCGCAGGCGGGAAGACAAGUUGGAAGUGAAAUCUAUGGGCUCAACCCAUAAACUGCUUUCAAAACUGUUUUUCUUGAGUAGUGCAGAGGUAGGCGGAAUUCCCGGUGUAGCGGUGGAAUGCGUAGAUAUCGGGAGGAACACCAGUGGCGAAGGCGGCCUACUGGGCACCAACUGACGCUGAGGCUCGAAAGUGUGGGUAGCAAACAGGAUUAGAUACCCUGGUAGUCCACACCGUAAACGAUGAUUACUAGGUGUUGGAGGAUUGACCCCUUCAGUGCCGCAGUUAACACAAUAAGUAAUCCACCUGGGGAGUACGACCGCAAGGUUGAAACUCAAAGGAAUUGACGGGGGCCCGCACAAGCAGUGGAGUAUGUGGUUUAAUUCGACGCAACGCGAAGAACCUUACCAAGUCUUGACAUCCUGCGACGGACAUAGAAAUAUGUUUUUCCUUCGGGACGCAGAGACAGGUGGUGCAUGGUUGUCGUCAGCUCGUGUCGUGAGAUGUUGGGUUAAGUCCCGCAACGAGCGCAACCCUU